rnacentral:lncRNA from 1 species
AGUGAUCAACAUGGAGGUCAGCAAGCUAGUGAAGAAAGCCAGAUACCAGAAGAAGCCGUGGAAGAGAAUGUAGUAGUUCCAUUGAGGAGAAGCACACGGUUAAAGAGAGAUGCUUCCAACUGGGUAAACACAAGAGUGUACUACAAUGCCCAAGCUGUGGAGCAUCCCUCUCAAGCUGUGUGCUCCUUUGCGUGCUAUCCAGAGAGCAUUGCGCAUUUAUGAUCAGCUUAGAUGGAAGCUAUGUGCCUAGAUCAUAUGAAGAUGCAAUGCUACAUGAAGACUGGAAGGAACCAGUAGGUGAUGAAGCUAAUGCCAUGAUAAAGAAUGAUACUUGGUUUGAAAGUGAACUGCCAAAAGGAAAGAAUAUGACUUUUAGAGUAUAAAGAGUAAUCUGAGAGUUUAAGAGAGAUUAGAGAAGUUUAGAGAUGAUUUAGAAUGAAAGAUAAGAUCAAGAGACUAAGAGAGAAGCCAUGGAGGCUAAGAGUAAUCAGAACUGUGUAAUCUUAUUAAUGAGACUGAGUUACAUAUAUAUAGUGUCGAGAUUAGGGCUUUACAAUACAAGAGGAUAAGCUACAGCAUGUGUAGUCAAAGAAGGGUGGAGCGCUUAUUUUGAAAUGAUCCAAUGAGGUUCUCCACAUGUGUAAGGCAUCUAGUAUCUUGGAUAAGAUCCCUUUUACCUUUCCAGCUGUGCUAGACUGUCACGCCCAGCUUCUUCCUUUCCCUUAACGGUCACAACUCAUCCUAAGCUUUGGGUAAAGCUUCUUCCCUUCAACCCAGUUACCCGGGUAAGUCUCUUUUACCUUUGGUCGAGUUUGGUCGAUACAAUGUGUACGGCCUGUACGGCCUGUACGGUCCAUCCGUACCAAACUCUCCCAAACUCUCCCAUGCUCUCCAUUCCUCAGUUCUACACUUCCUUAUCUCUUCAUGCCUUCAACCCCUCAUCUCUUCUCCUUAUACUCAGCUCAUCUCAACACUCCCCCUCAAUCUUAGCUUUGUGAAAGUCUAAGAUUGGACAGCCAUGAGAUCUUCCUCAUUAAAAACCUUACCAAGGAAAACCCAUUGGGAUAAAACCUUGAUAAGGGAAAAAGAGUAAAGACCUCAUGACUUAGGGGAUCAGCUCCUUCUCUUCCCAAGAUCAAUGAGGCCCAAUCUGAUGUGAAUGGACUCCAUUGUCUUUUGCCUUGCAGCUUUGGUGAACACAUCCGCCAACUGAUCUUCACUUCUAGUGUAGCAUGGCAAGAUUACCCCUAGCACAAUCAUCUGCCUCACCUUGUGACAAUCAACCUCAAUGUGCUUAGUUCUUUCAUGGAACACUGAGUUGGAGGCAAUGUGGAUGGCAGCUUGGUUAUCACAAUGCAUUGUCAUUGGCGUGGCUUGAUCAAUCUCCAAAUGCUUCAAGAUGCCUUUAAUCCACACUAGCUCAUUGGUAAGCUUCAGCAUAGCUCUAUACUCAGCUUCUGCGCUUGAACAAGAUACUACCUUCUGCUUCUUGCUCUUCCAAGUAACCAAGUUGCCUCCAAUGAAUGUGCAAUAGCCUGUGGUUGAUCUCCUGUCUGCUCUAUCACCAGCCCAAUCUGCAUCACAAUAUCCAACCACUUCAGUGCUCCCAUUGCAACCCAUCCAUACUCCUUGAUCAGGUGAGCCAUUGAGAUACAUCAAGAUUCUCUCCACCAUGCGCCAGUGAUGCUCCUUAGGCACUUGCAUGUGUUGACUCACCUGAUUCACAGCAAAGCAAAUGUCAGGUCUAGUUAUGGUAAGAUAAAUCAAUUUGCCAACUAGUUUUCUAUAGAGUUUAGGAUCCUGAUAAGGUUUGCUGUCUUCAAUCUCCCCCUCUCGUGGGACUUUGUAGCCAUCCUCCAUAGGCAUCCUUGCUGUCUUGCCUCCAUAAGCACCUGCACCUUUCAAAAGAUCAAGUGUAUACUUCCUUUGGGACAUGAACAAGCCUUCCUUGGAUCUACAUAUCUCAAUUCCAAGAAAGUAUUUCAUUUCUCCCAAGUCUUUAAUCUCAAACAUUGACUUAAGGAACUCCUUGGUUGCUAUGAUACCUUCCUUAUCACUUCCUGUGAUGAUGAUAUCAUCAACAUACACAAGGAGUGCGAUCAUACGUGAGGGAGUAGUGAGAGUGAAGAGAGUGUGAUCUAGCUCAGACUUCUUGAAGCCUCGGCCAUUAAGGGUAGUGCUCAGCUUGUUGUACCAAGCUCUUGGUGAUUGCUUCAACCCAUAGAUGGCUUUCUUCAGUCUCAACACAUUUCCUUUCUUCACUAAGUGUUCCAAGCCUGGAGGUGGAUGCAUAUACACUUCAUCCUCAAGCUCUCCUUGUAGAAAUGCAUUCUUCACAUCCAUUUGCCAUAAACCCCAUCCAAGGUUCACAGCCAAGCUUAAUACAAUCUGGAUUGUAUGUAGUUUAGCCACUGGUGCAAAGGUCUCAAUGUAGUUGAGAAUCUGAGUUCUUUGCGUAGACUAAAGACUAAAGUCAUACCUCCUCUCAUUAAGCAGCUCUGGAUCAGUUGUGCUUGGCCUCAGCAUCUCCAGUUCUGACCAUAGGGACCGGAACCUCCCCAAAUGCUUGGUGAACUCCAUGUCAUCUUGUACCAAGCCGUUUAUGGCUUUCUUUACUUCAAACACUCGGUGAAGGUUUGAAGCAUUCCCAUACACCUUCUUCAAAGUGUCCCAAAGCUCCUUAGCUGACUCACAGUAGCUGUAAGCCUCUAGGAUCGCCGGCUCUAAGGAGGCACGAAGAACAGACAUCACAAGCAUGUCUUCUCGCUGCCACUUCUCUACUGCCGUUUCAUUUGAGACCUCUUCUGAGUCUUCUCCCUGAGUAAUGAGCUGAGAAGCUUCACCAUCCGAGAGAUGCUUCCAAAGACCCUUACUUCCCACUGUGGUUCUCACCAUCCGAGACCACACCAAGUAGUUACUCCCCUUGAAAAUAACCGCCACCUUCAUGUGCAUGCUUAUCCCUCCAUCCAUCUUCAACUGCUUGUUCUUGAACUACUUGUAGAAGACUUUGAACUUGAGACUAAACCGCACCAACACUUCACGAGCUAACAACACAUGCAAAGCUUCACUCUUGUAACCACAAUGUAACCAAAGAAGACUUGAGGCUAGAGACUCCAACGAACCUUCAACCUUUAGCCUUUAGUCUACGCAAAGAACUCAGAUUCUCAAGAACCUGGCUCUGAUACCAUAUGACUUUUAGAGUAUAAAUAGUAAUCUGAGAGUUUAAGAGAGAUUAGAGAAGUUUAGAGAUGAUUUAGAAUGAAAGAUAAGAUCAAGAGACUAAGAGAGAAGCCAUGGAGGCUAAGAGUAAUCAGAACUGUGUAAUCUUAUUAAUGAGACUGAGUUACAUAUAUAUAGUGUCGAGAUUAGGGCUUUACAAUACAAGAGGAUAAGCUACAGCAUGUGUAGUCAAAGAAGGGUGGAGCGCUUAUUUUGAAAUGAUCCAAUGAGGUUCUCCACAUGUGUAAGGCAUCUAGUAUCUUGGAUAAGAUCCCUUUUACCUUUCCAGCUGUGCUAGACUGUCACGCCCAGCUUCUUCCUUUCCCUUAACGGUCACAACUCAUCCUAAGCUUUGGGUAAAGCUUCUUCCCUUCAACCGAGUUACCCGGGUAAGUCUCUUUUACCUUUGGUCGAGUCUGGUCGAUACAAUGUGUACGGC